rnacentral:rRNA from 1 species
UACGUAGGGUGCGAGCGUUGUCCGGAAUUAUUGGGCGUAAAGGGCUCGUAGGCGGUUUGUCGCGUCGGGAGUGAAAACACUGGGCUUAACUCAGUGCUUGCUUCCGAUACGGGCAGACUAGAGGUAUGCAGGGGAGAACGGAAUUCCUGGUGUAGCGGUGAAAUGCGCAGAUAUCAGGAAGAACACCGGUGGCGAAGGCGGUUCUCUGGGCAUUACCUGACGCUGAGGAGCGAAAGUGUGGGGAGCGAACAGG